rnacentral:rRNA from 1 species
UAGCCCUGAAAAUGGAUGGCGCUCAAGCGCGUGGCCGAUACACCGCCGCCGGAGCGAAGCUUAGGCUCCGGUGAGUAGGAGGGCGUCGGGCUCGUGUAGAAGCUUUGGGCGUGAGCCCGGGUGGAACGGGCUCGAGUGCAGAUCUUGGUGGAAGUAGCGAAUAUUCAAGCGAGAACCUUGAGGACUGGAGUGGAGAAGGGUUCCAUGUACACAGCGAUUGGACAUGGGUGAGUCGAUCCUAAGAGAUUGGGUAAUUCCGUGAGAGAAGCGCGUAGAGCGCAAUCCAUCGAAAG